CCCUUAGAUGUCCUGGGCCGCACGCGCGUUGCACUGGUGCAUUCAACGAGCUUAUAACCUUGGCCGAGAGGCCUGGGCAAUCUUGUUAACGUGCAUCGUGAUAGGGAUAGAUUAUUGAAAUUAUUAAUCUUGAACGAGGAAUUCCUAGUAAACGCAGAUCAUCAAUCUGCAUUGAUUACGUCCCUGCCCUUUGUACACACCGCCCGUCGCACCUACCGAUUGGAUGGUCCGGUGAAGCCUCGGGAUUGUGGUUCUUGCCGCUUUAUUGUGGCGUGACCGCGAGAACUUGUCUAAACCUUAUCAUCUAGAGGAAGGUGAAGUCGUAACA
rnacentral:rRNA from 1 species